UUUUUCGGUCUGGGAUGGACUCGCGGCCUAUCAGCUUGUUGGUGAGGUAAUGGCUCACCAAGGCGUCGACGGGUAGCCGGCCUGAGAGGGUGACCGGCCACACUGGGACUGAGACACGGCCCAGACUCCUACGGGAGGCAGCAGUGGGGAAUAUUGCACAAUGGGCGCAAGCCUGAUGCAGCAACGCCGCGUGCGGGAUGACGGCCUUCGGGUUGUAAACCGCUUUUAGUAAGGAAGAAGGGGAGCUUGCUCCUGACGGUACUGCA
rnacentral:rRNA from 1 species